rfam:Camelus ferus unplaced genomic scaffold scaffold1631, whole genome shotgun sequence.
GAGGGUAUAGCUCAGUGGUAGAGCAUGUGCUCAGUGCGCAUGAGGUCCUGGGUUCAAUCCCCAGUACCUCCA